CAAAACUGAAUCAAAUAAUAUCUUGAUAAGUGUAAAUGUUUCUCCUGUAGUUUUAGUUUCAGAGAUUGGAAACAAAACUGGACGGAUAAUUGAAAUAUUUGGCCUUGUGGCUGAUAUGAUCUUUGAUAUUCUGCCUACUUUACAAUUCAUGAUCCUGUUCUACACGUUUGGAUCUUCUGGAACAGGGUUCAUCAUUGUUGUCAUUUUACCAGUGUUUAUGAUGAUGACCAAUGACAGAUGGUUUUACAGAUGCUAUAAUAGACUCGACUGUUCACCGUCAUUCAUAAGAACAGUGAUGAUGAUCUUUACAGUAGUGAUGAAUGCAGUGAUGAUCGGUGUUUACAUAACGACACUGGAGAAAAGAACAGGUAUGAUGAUAGUUUAAUCAUGUUUGGAAUUACAACGCAUCAUUGAUCAAGCAAAUAUACGUUUAUUUUACAAAGUGUUUUCAUGGGAAAGUUCAUUAACUUGUCAGAGUCGUGCCACAGAUCAGGAUAUAUAUAAGUUGAUCUUCCCCUCG